UCAAGCUUGUCUUAUGAGAGAACAAUUUUCUCCCUACUGGUUUUUUCGUGUGAUCAUUCGUUGGCUUUUGGUGUUGCUUAGUGCUACUCGACUUAGAAAGAUCUCUUUCUUCUUUCUUCUUCCUAUGAAACCUUUUCCACUGUGUCAUCUUUAUGGGAUUCUUUCCCUUAUAAUUAGCAUUGGGCCCGUAAGAGCGUCUUUCUGACAUUUGGAAACUUCCCUUGUAAUUCAUAGAAGUUCCUCGACCAAUCUCGA
rnacentral:lncRNA from 1 species